UACGUAGGGUCCGAGCGUUGUCCGGAAUUAUUGGGCGUAAAGAGCUCGUAGGCGGUUUGUCGCGUCUGCUGUGAAAUCCCGAGGCUCAACCUCGGGCCUGCAGUGGGUACGGGCAGACUAGAGUGCGGGAGAGGAGAGUGGAAUUCCCGGUGUAGCGGUGAAAUGCGCAGAUAUCGGGAAGAACACCCGUGGCGAAGGCGGCUCUCUGGAACGCAACUGACGCUGAGACGGCGAAAGCGUGGGAGCAAACAGG
rnacentral:rRNA from 1 species